UACAGAGGUCCCGAGCGUUGUUCGGAUUCACUGGGCGUAAAGGGUGCGUAGGUGGCGGGGUAAGUCGGAUGUGAAAGCUCGGAGCUCAACUCCGAAAUGGCAUUGGAAACUACCUUGCUCGAGGGUUGGAGGGGGGACUGGAAUGCUUGGUGUAGCAGUGAAAUGCGUAGAUAUCAAGCGGAACACCAGUGGCGAAGGCGGGUUGCUGGGCCGACACUGACGCUGAGUGCGCGAAAGCCAGGGGAGCAAACGGG
rnacentral:rRNA from 1 species